CUGUCUGCUCCUAGGAAGGAACCAGAGGGGGCUGAAGUGACCAUGAAAGUGUCACUGACAGCGGACAGUGUGACAGCUCUCCUCCUGAACUACCCCAAAAAUCUGCAUUUUAGGAAAGUGCCAGUUCAGGCAAAAUUUUCAGAGAUUUGGCACUUGGAUGAAAGCAUAUUCCAAUGAGGGUUGCUGGCUUCACCACAAAAUCCUGGAAAUACCAGAAUUCCUACGUGGAAUUACCAAAAUUACCAAAAACUAGGCUUGUUCUUUUCACUCUCCUAAAGCCUUUGGAUCC
rnacentral:lncRNA from 12 species